ACCAAUCCCCUGCAAAGACAUGUUUGACUACAUACAAGACAAAGGAGGAAAACUUGAGGAGGAAGAAACUAAGGUAGCAACUCCCACUAGCUUACAGCCCUUCAUAGCCCCAAGCUAACAUUAGCUGUUAGUCUUUAAGUGUUGAUGCAGAAGCUAAAGUAGCUUCCAGCAAAAAAAAAAAAAAAAAACUUUAGGAAGACCAGUAAAGCAGUGGCAGAACUUCUUAGAAGCUGCUGCUUCACCUCAUUACUUUUUUCUCUUUCAGAUCAUAAUGAAACAGCUGAUUCCAACAGCCACUGAUCUUGAGGAGAGGAACAUCUUCUUCCAAAAUUGAAAACAUUCUAAUUCAUACCGAUGGAAAUGUCCCACGGCCUCGACUUAUUGACUUUGGUUUGAGUUGCGUCGUCAAGGACCUGGCCGUCAGUGUCAAGUAUACAGGAACUGAAGUAUUUACCCCACCAGAGUCUUUUAUAGACGACUACUGCCAGCUUGGAUCAACCACCGUGUGGCAGAUAGGUGCCGUUUUAUAUGAAGCUCUUCGUGAUGGACCCCAGUUCUCCACAUCAGCGUUACUCAGUGAAAGAUUGAAGAUUACAUGCGUCAAAAGAAUGCCAUGACAUCUUUGAGGCAAGUUUGAAGGUUCUCCCUGAGGAGCGUCCCAAGCUAAAGGAUCUCCUCAACCCUCCAUGGUUCAGAUAGACACGUCCACUAUUGAUGAGCCAGUCAAGACGCUAAGAAGACGACAAAUGAAGAAGUGAUUGGCAGAGUCAAAAACACAGUCCAAUGAAGAUGGACUUCCUCCUACAGUGUGUGAUUCUCAGUGUGUUGCUGACACACUUUUUUCUGCAGCUCCUUUAACCCCCCUGCCGUCUGUGGAAAGGAGAUCUCUCUUUGAAUUGCCUUUCCCGAGGGUUCUUCCUAAAGUCAAUCUGGCCUUCUAGGGAGUUUUACCUCGUCUUCAUAGAGAGCUUGGGCAGGACAGGAGUAUGCAGAAACCCAAAAUGGGUUCAACCAAUUGGCACUUACUAUGAUGAAUUGGAAGAAAAUAUAAAAACAAUGUAUG